rnacentral:rRNA from 1 species
AUUGAACGCUGGCGGCAGGCCUAACACAUGCAAGUCGAGCGGCGCGGCGGCCGGGUGAGUAAUGCUUAGGAAUCUGCCUGGUCCUGGGGGAUAACGUUCGGAAACGGGCGCUGAUACCGCAUCCUCUCAGAUGCGCAUAGGUCGGAUUAGAUAGUUGGUGGGGUAAAGGCCUACCAAGGCGACGAGCCGUAGCUGGUCUGAGAGGAUGAUCAGUCACACUGGAACUGAGACACGGUCCAGACUCCUACGGGAGGCAGCAGUGGGGAAUAUUGGACAAUGGGCGCAAGCCUGAUGCAGCCAUGCCGCGUGUAUGAAGAAGGUCUUCGGGUUGUAAAGCACUUUAAGUUGGGAGGCGUUACCAACAGAAGAAGCACCGGCUAACUCCGUGCCAGCAGCCGCGGUAAUUC